rnacentral:rRNA from 1 species
CCUAAGGUAGCGAAAUUCCUUGUCGGGUAAGUUCCGACCCGCACGAAAGGCGUAACGAUUUGGGCACUGUCUCAACAACAGACUCGGUGAAAUUGUAAUACCGGUGAAGAUGCCGGUUACCUGCGACAGGACGGAAAGACCCCAUGGAGCUUUACUGUAGCUUGACAUUGAGUCUCGGUGCUACAUGUACAGGAUAGGUGGGAGACUAUGAAGCAUGGACGUCAGUCUGUGUGGAGUCAUCCUUGGGAUACCACCCUUGUAGUACUGGGAUUCUAACCAGAGGCCAUGAAUCUGGUCUUGGGACACUGUCAGGUGGACAGUUUGACUGGGGCGGUCGCCUCCCAAAAAGUAACGGAGGCGCUCAAAGGUUCUCUCAGUACGGUCGGAAAUCGUACGAAGAGUGUAAAGGCAAAAGAGAGCUUGAUUGCAAGACAUACAGGUCGAGCAAGGACGAAAGUCGGACUUAGUGAUCCGGUGGUUCCGCAUGGAAGGGCCAUCGCUCAACGGAUAAAAGCUACCCUGGGGAUAACAGGCUGAUCUCCCCCAAGAGUCCACAUCGACGGGGAGGUUUGGCACCUCGAUGUCGGCUCAUCACAUCCUGGGGCUGUAGUAGGUCCCAAGGGUUGGGCUGUUCGCCCAUUAAAGUGGUACGCGAGCUGGGUUCAGAACGUCGUGAGACAGUUCGGUCCCUAUCCGUCGCAGGCGUAGGAAAUUUGAGGAGACCUGUCCUUAGUACGAGAGGACCGGGAUGGACGUACCGCUGGUGUACCAGUUGUUCUGCCAAGGGCAUGGCUGGGUAGCUAAGUACGGAAAGGAUAAGCGCUGAAAGCAUCUAAGCGCGAAGCCCACUUCAAGAUAAGAUUUCCCACCGCAAGGUUAAGAUCCCAGGAAGACUACCUGGUUGAUAGGUCAGAGGUGUAAGUGCAGUAAUGUAUUUAGCUUACUGAUACUAAUAGAUCGAGGACUUGACCAA